rnacentral:sRNA from 1 species
GGCGGGCCAUGGCGGCGAACCUGAGCCGGAACGGGCCAGCGCUGCAGGAGGCCUACGUGCGGGUGGUCACCGAGAAGUCCCCGACCGACUGGGCUCUCUUUACCUAUGAAGGCAACAGCAAUGACAUCCGCGUGGCUGGCACAGGGGAGGGUGGCCUGGAGGAGAUGGUGGAGGAGCUCAACAGCGGGAAGGUGAUGUACGCCUUCUGCAGAGUGAAGGACCCCAACUCUGGACUGCCCAAAUUUGUCCUCAUCAACUGGACAGGCGAGGGCGUGAAUGAUGUGCGGAAGGGAGCCUGCGCCAGCCACGUCAGCACCAUGGCCAACUUCCUGAAGGGGGCCCAUGUGACCAUCAACGCACGGGCCGAGGAGGAUGUGGAGCCUGAGUGCAUCAUGGAGAAGGUGGCCAAGGCUUCAGGUGCCAACUACAGCUUUCACAAGGAGAGUGGCCGCUUCCAGGACGCGGGACCCCAGGCCCCAGUGGGCUCUGUGUACCAGAAGACCAAUGCCGUGUCUGAGAUUAAAAGGGUUGGUAAAGACAGCUUCUGGGCCAAAGCAGAGGUGAGUGCUGCCCCGGGGCGUGCUGGGCACGUGGGAGUGUUCUGCUUGCUGUGGCUCAUCUUUCCUCACAAGUG